GCUGGAUAUGGUGGUUUGUGCCUGUAAUCUGAGUGCUGGUUGGGCUGAAGUUAAAGCACGGCUCGAUUCCAGGGAUUUUGGGCUGCAACAAGCUGUGCCGAGUGGGUGUCUGUGUGAAGUUUGGCGUGGAUGUGGUGAUCCUGAGGGAACUGGGGGCCACCAGGUUGCCUAAGGAAGGGGGAACUGGCCCAGGCUGAAGUGGAGCAGGUCAAAAUUCAAGUGUUGAUCCGCAGUGGGAUGGUGUAGGUGAAUAUUUCCUGUAGCACAGCCUGGGAAUGGAAAAGAAACGCAGAUUCCUUUU
ensembl:misc_RNA Metazoa_SRP Metazoan signal recognition particle RNA